GACGAACGCUGGCGGCGUGCUUAACACAUGCAAGUCGAACGGCAAGGCCCUGCUUUUGUGGGGUGCUCGAGUGGCGAACGGGUGCGUAACACGUGAGUAACCUGCCCUUGACUUUGGGAUAACUUCAGGAAACUGGGGCUAAUAUCGUAUAGGAGCUCCUGCUGCAUGGUGGGGGUUGGAACGUUUCGGCGGUCUGGGAUGGACUCGCGGCUUAUCAGCUUGUUGGUGGGGUAGUGGCUUACCAAGGCUUUGACGGGUAGCCGGCCUGAGAGGGUGACCGGCGACAUUGGGACUAAGAGACGGAGCAGACUCGUACGGGAGGCAGCAGUGGGAAAUAUUGCACAACGAGAGGGAGCCUGAGGCGGCAACGCUGGGGUCGUGAAGACGGCCUUUGGGGAGUAAACAGCUUUAGGCUGAGACGAAGCGUGAGUGACGGUAAUGGAUGAAGAAGCACCGGCUAACUACGUG
rnacentral:rRNA from 1 species